UACGUAGGCAGCGAGCGUUGUUCGGAGUUACUGGGCGUAAAGGGUGUGUAGGCGGUUCUCUAAGUUUGGUGUGAAAUCUCCCGGCUCAACCGGGAGGGUGCGCCGAAAACUGGAGGGCUAGAGUGCGGGAAGGGGAGAGUAGAAUUCCUGGUGUAGCGGUGAAAUGCGUAGAUAUCAGGAGGAAUACCGGUGGUGUAGACGGCUCUCUGGACCGCGACUGACGCUGAGACACGAAAGCGUGGGUAGCAAACAGG
rnacentral:rRNA from 1 species